UNGGUUGCUAAUCUAUUCCUGUGCCUGU
rnacentral:piRNA from 1 species